GUCUCGCCUGCCCACUGAAUAUUUAAAGGGCCGCGGUAGCCUGACCGUGCGAAGGUAGCAUAAUCAAUUGGCUUUUAAUUGGAAUCUUGAAUGAAUGGUAGGACAAGGGACAGACUGUCUUCUUCUAAGGAUAGAAUUUUACUUUUAAGUGAAAAGGCUUAAAUUUAAUGAAAUGACGAUAAGACCCUAUAAAACUUUACAUUUAAUUAAAAAUUAUUUAAUAAAUAAAAGUGAUUAUUAAGAUAAUGUUAUGUUGGGGCGACAAGAAUAUAAUAGUUAGCUGUUUGAGAAUAAAAUAGAAAAUUUCUAGAUAGUUGAUCCGCUUUUAGCGAUUAUAAGAUUAAGUUACUUUAGGGAUAACAGCGUAAUUCUCUUUUAGAGUCCCUAUCGGCAAGAGUAUUUGCGACCUCGAUGUUGAAUUAAAAUAUCUCCUAGGAGCAGAAGCUUAGGUAGUUGGUCUGUUCGACCAU
rnacentral:rRNA from 1 species